rnacentral:rRNA from 1 species
ACAUCAAAGCCGGGGCAACCUGGCGCUUUUUGAGGAGCCCGCGGCAUAUCAGCUCGUUGGUGGGGUAACGGCNUACCAAGGCUUUGACGGGUAGCUGGUCUGAGAGGACGACCAGUCACACUGGAACUGAGACACGGUCCAGACACCUACGGGUGGCAGCAGUCGAGAAUUUUUGACAAUGGGGGAAACCCUGAUCGAGCGACGCCGCGUGGAGGAUGAAGGCUUUCGGGUUGUAAACUCCUGUCAUUUGAGAACAAGGGUAGCUAAGUAACUACUAGCUACUUGAUAGUAUCAGAAGAGGAAGAGACGGCUAACUCUGUGCCAGCAGCCGCGGUAAUACAGAGGUCUCAAGCGUUGUUCGGAUUCAUUGGGCGUAAAGGGUGCGUAGGUGGCGCGCUAAGUCAGGUGUGAAAUUUCGGAGCUUAACUCCGAAACUGCAUUUGAUACUGGCGUGCUUGAGGACUGGAGAGGAGACUGGAAUUCACGGUGUAGCAGUGAAAUGCGUAGAUAUCGUGAGGAAGACCAGUGGCGAAGGCGGGUCUCUGGACAUUCCUGACACUGAGGCACAAA